rnacentral:rRNA from 1 species
UACGAAGGGGGCGAGCGUUGUUCGGAAUCACUGGGCGUAAAGGGCGCGUAGGCGGCCCUCCUAGUCGCGUGUGAAAGCCCCGGGCUCAACCUGGGAACGGCGCGCGAAACGGGGGGGCUGGAGUUCGGGAGAGGAGAGUGGAAUUCCCAGUGUAGAGGUGAAAUGCGUAGAUAUCUGGAGGAACACCGGUGGCGAAGGCGGCAUCCUGGACCGAGAUUGACGCUGAGGCGCGAAAGCCAGGGGAGCAAACGGG